rnacentral:rRNA from 1 species
GACUAACGUUAAACGGCCGCGGUAUCCUGACCGUGCAAAGGUAGCAUAAUCACUUGUUCCUUAAUUAGGGACUAGAAUGAAUGGCUUAACGAGGGUUCAACUGUCUCUUAUUUCCAAUCAGUGAAAUUGACCUUCCCGUGAAGAGGCGGGAAUGAAAAAAUAAGACGAGAAGACCCUAUGGAGCUUUAAUUAACAACUUAACAUUUUAAACCUAAUAACCUACUGGAUCAAACACACAAGAACUUAAGUUAAAAUUUCGGUUGGGGUGACCUCGGAGAAUAAAAAAACCUCCGAAAGAUUAUAGCCAAGACACACAAGUCUAAGCACCUGAAUCCAAUUGACCCAAUUUUUUUUGAUCAACGGACCAAGUUACCCUAGGGAUAACAGCGCAAUCCUAUUCAAGAGUCCAUAUCGACAAUUAGGGUUUACGACCUCGAUGUUGGAUCAGGACAUCCCAAUGGUGUAGAAGCUAUUAAUGGUUCGUUUGUUCAACGAUUAAAGUCCUACGUGAUCU